CUCUUAUUGCUUCUUUUAAUAAGUAUGGCCUGCCCAGUGAAUAACUUUAUUUUAAACGGCCGCAGAAUUUUAACUGUGCUAAGGUAGCAUAAUCAUUUGUUGCUUAAAUGGCAACUAGUAUGAAUGGCUUAACGAUUCUUUACUGUCUUUCAUUUUCAUCUUAUAAAAAUUGUCCUUAAAGUUAAAAGUCUUUAAUUCUAAUAAAAGACAAAAAGACCCUAUAGAGUUUAAUUUCAAAAUUUUUAAAAAUAAAAUUGUUGAAGUUUAGUUGGGGCAACUAGAAAAUUUUAAAAAUUUUUCCUAACCAAAUAAAUUAAUAAUAUCAUUACUAUUAAUAAACCUUAAAAAUUACCUUAGGGAUAACAGAAUAAUUUUUCUUAUAGAGUCCCUAUCGACAAGAAAAUUUAUGACCUCGAUGUUGGAUUAAGGGUACUAAAAGUAGAAAAAUGCUUAUAAGUUAGUCUGUUCGACUAUUAAAUCCUUACAU
rnacentral:rRNA from 2 species